AAGUCUGUACUUUCAGGGAUUAUUUCUUUAGUUCAAUACUAGAGAAGUUUCUCUGAUCAUGUAGAGCACCCAGAACCACAAGGAGGAGCGAAGGCAUCCUUCCCUGAGCAGGUAUCUGGUUCUAGGUAUUGCUUUUGCAACUACAUUUUACCAAGAUGAUUGUUCUUCUCUUCUUUUGGAAGAGAAAGAGGGAGAGGAUGCAGUCUGAGCGGU